rnacentral:ncRNA from 2 species
AGACGUUCUCAGGGCGGGGUGAAACUCCCCACCGGCGGUAUCUGUGACCCGAUCACAGGAGCCCGCGAGCGCUUGAGGGCCACGCCUUCAGGGUCAGCAGACAUGGUGAGAUGCCAUGGCCGACGGUCACAGUCCGGAUGAAAGAGCAACGUGU